GUUCGUAACGUCAUCGUGAUCAUCUAAAAUAUAAGUUAGAAGUCAAUUACAGUUUUCUGUGUUUUAUGUGCUAUUCAAGUCUUGUAUUAUGUUGUCCCUAAAACUUAGUAAAAGAUUCAUUUUGAAGUGUUGCAGGAAAUUUGUUUCAAGCUUCAAGCCUGAACAAUCUAGAAAACUAGGGCGUUCUCUCGAUACGAUUGAGUUUGUUUGGCGUUGUGUUCUAAGAAAGCAACUACAGAGACUCUUGGCUGUGAUUCUGGGUUGCAUGUCAGCUGCAAUACUUAUAGCAGAGGCUACCAUACUGCCCCAUGGAGUUGAUUUGUCUCUCUUCUCCAUUCUCAUAAGUCCGUGGGAAAGCAGGAACUGGUUGGGCAGAUUACUUCUUUUAUCCCUCUGAUGUAUAUGUGUGUUUGCACAUAUUAUUCCUUGUUCAAAAUUGGAAUGCUGAUGUUCUACGCCUUGACACCAAGACAAACAAGCUCAGUCAGCUUGCUUAUGAUAUGCUCGAUGGUUGCACGAUAUGCUCCACCAAUUUCAUACAACUUUCUCAAUCUUAUUUAUCCCCCUGAUAAAAGGAAAACCGUCUUUGAGAAUGUCUGUAAUCUUUCUAUACUAUUGUUCUUUUCUUGUAAACAUCAAGCCAUUUGAAGAUGGUAAUGUUUCAAUAUCAUGCACCAGUUCUGCAAAAUUACUUGGUAGUUAUUGUCCCUGCAACUGGGAUUUAUAUCGUAGGCAUGUGAUAAUGGGGCAUUGCGUUGAUUUUUUAUUGCCUUUUGCCCACUGAUGUUAUGUUCCCCAUUUAGAGAAAAACUUGAAGUUGAUAGAAAGGUGCCACUCUUGGAGUAAUGUUGUAA